rnacentral:tRNA from 1 species
GCUAAAGUAGCAAAGCGGUUAAAUGCAAAAGACUUAGGAUCUUCUAACGUAGGUUCAAAUCCUUCCUUUAGCUCAU